CUCUGGACUCUGAAUCCAGCGAU
rnacentral:piRNA from 3 species